CCUACGGGUGGCAGCAGUGGGGAAUCUUGCACAAUGGGGGAAACCCUGAUGCAGCGACGCCGCGUGAGUGAAGAAGUAUCUCGGUACGUAAAGCUCUAUCAGCAGGGAAGAAAAUGACGGUACCUGACUAAGAAGCGCAGGCUAACUACGUGCCAGCAGCAGCGGUAAUACGUAGGGGGCAAGCGUGAUCCGGAUUUACUGGGUGUAAAGGGAGCGUAGGCGGCGGCACAAGUCUGGAGUGAAAGCCCGGGGCUUAACCCCGGAACUGCUUUGGAAACUGUGCGGCUGGAGUGCAGGAGGGGGAAGCGGAAUUCCUGGUGUAGCAGUGAAAUGCGUAGAUAUUAGGAGGAACACCGGUGGCGAAGGCGGGUUACUGGACUGUAACUGACGUUGAGGCUCGAAGGCGGGGGGAGCGAACAGGAUUAGAUACCCUAGUAGUC
rnacentral:rRNA from 1 species